ACUAUCCCAAAACUUUUAAUGCAAGCAAAUAUUUGACUUUACUUUGCAAUUUGUUGCAGAUAGAUCACUUUAUAGUACAAGACUCCGAAAUAAACGCCUGAGCCUGAGUUGUUCAAGCGUCAGCGUGCACAAGGUCCCGAAGACGCAGACGACAUAUUUUUUUCACCUCCUCAAUGCCGCACGUUCUCUCCACCGCAUGCUGGUUGGGCAUGCGAGCCCGCAUCUGCCUGAAGAUGUUUGGCUUGUCGUUCAUCCGGGCGCAGAUGACGAACGGGAAGCCAAAACGCUCCUUGUAGUCCUUGUUGAGCUGCGCCAUGCUGGAGGCCUCCUCGGAGGUCAGCGCGUCCAAGCCGACAUUGCCCUGCUCCUUCACCGACUCCUGGGUCAGAGUGCCAGCCUGGAGGUCUCGGCCCGCAAGAUCCGGGUGGCACCUGAGGAUGCCCUCUUUACCUGGACACAAAUAGGGAAGGAUUUUGUUGCAGGGACAUGCAAGUUGACCUUCCCUACCCAAGAGAAAGAGCCACUUGGCGUAUUAUGGACCAAGACACCACCAUUUUGACUCUUUCAGGCCACAAUGCUUCUUGUUGGAGCUAAAGUCAGUCAAAUAGGCUUGAGAAUGUGACUAUACAGAACCCUAUUGGCUGAAAUAUCUGGUAUUUUUGCUCAUUUGAUGGGCAAAGAGGUCUGGCUAAAGGACUCACCUGAUUCAGGCAAAGCGUCAAUGAAGUCACUGAUGGCCGCCUCCAUUGCAUCAACACUCCCAAAGGGCCGAGAGGAGCACACGGCUGCUGCCACAAUGGGACAUUUCUCCACCACAUUGCUGAAGAUGUUGAUGAAAUCCUCAUCGGGGAGUGUAUUUACUCUGGAGAGUUCCAUUCCCCCCUUUGGAGAUGAUCAUGCAAAAGCUCUGAGUUGAAUGCACUUUGCACAACAAGCUCCUUGUUACUGUCUCGGUUAAUGUUUGCCUUAUUGAUUCUCCUGGCAAUUACAGCAUUAGUCAAAAGAGGACUGUGAAAUUCUGACUUCAUGAUGUUAUGAUUUACGUGCCAAAUUGAAGGAAUCGAAUCCAGGAUAGAGUAUAUACCUGUAUACUCUAUAACCACGAGGGUAUAAAUAGCUAUAGCCUACAUGCUGCAUUCCACAGUUCACACCCUUUAUCAAGCGACGUCAAAUUGAUAAGAUAAAGUUAAAGUCGGAGUUUUAUGAGCCCACAAAAGCAUUCGACAUGAAUUUGAAAGUUUUGAUUACAUCACCUUAUAGUUGAAGAAAUAUCUUGCUUUCCUUUGCCGUCUCCGAACAGUGCCGAACAGACCGUCGCGCUGACUUUCCGUGCAGCUGUUGGCCGAGCUAUACGUCGUUGCAGGCAGCGCCGCCGAUUGGUCAAUUCCGUCACCAGUGUUGAUGCAUCAGGUACAGCGUUUCCCCCCGUUUUUAGGGCCAAAUUGAAUAGAAAAAAAGUUUGCCCUAAAUAAAAUAUCUGACUAUAGAUAAAAUAGCUCUUUGGGUACAUGUGUAUUUAUUCAUUAUAUUGUUAUCCCUUAUCUUAAUCUUACUUUUUAAUGAUUUAUUUACUUCUUAAGUGUUUGCAUAUAUGUACAGAGAGCUAAUUUAACCAAAGUCAAAUUCCUUGUUUUCUGUAAGCAUAUUUGGCCAAUACAGCUGAUUCUGAUCAAAUAUGCAGAAAAACACGAUACAGGUGUAAUCCUAUUUAGCAGAAAUGUGACUGUACAUAAUACGACAUAAAUGGGGCAAUGAUGUCACGCUCAGAUGUUGUUGUCAUUUAUUGCAGAUUUAAUGCUUAAUCUUGGAAAAAUACAUUCAAUGAAUCAUAUUGUUUAAAGCUCUUAAAGAAAAAUGCAGAAUAAACCAGUCACAAAUCACAAUUUGCAGACAAAAGGCUGUUUCCAUAUAGUGUAAAGUUAGGUAUAUGUAAAAAAAAUAACAUACAGUGUAUAGUCCAGCACAUUUGUUAGAAACUCCAUAAAUUAUUUUGGUCUAAUGGCUAAUUUAUUUGAUUAAUCUGAUUUGAUUAGACGUGUCCAAAUUCUUUGGUCUGCGGAUCAUUUUUUAUCAUCUCACUGCAUGUUUUAAGCAGCAAAUGAAAGACGGCCUCUCAUCAGAACAACUACUGUAAUAACAGAUGAGGUGUUGGCUGUUUUUAAUUUCUUUAAAUAUGCUUAACUACAUAGCAUAUUUUGAUCUACAUUGAUUGAUGAGAAAGUUAACAAAAAGGUGAAUAUCAUCCUUCAUUUUUUUGGCAAAGGCUUUGACACCCCUGUAUUGUAUUCCAUGAAAUGUGUUGCGAUGCUCCUUUUUGUGUGUUUUCAGAUACGCUUGCUCACUCACUGACUCUGCUUCAGAAGUUUGUCCUCACACAUUUCCACACACGUGUCGUUGGCCGAGCAUGCCUUGUCGCCCCCCUCCUGUUUCACAAAAGCGGAAGCAUCCAGUACGGCUGAUGUAUUCUGGUAGUCGCUGGGUAUCUGGUCGAUCAUGUUGUGAUAGAGCUGAAAGAGGAAGGCUCUCUGUCAGCUACACGUAUGAGUCAGAUAAAAGUGAUAUGUUUCUUAAAAAAAGUAAGUCGAUGUGAGGUUACAUCUAUUGUAUGGAUGCUCAAACCUACAAAUUUACCUUCUCCUCUCUGAUUGUCAGCUGGUCAGACAUAAAAGACACCAGUUUGGAGAACGAGGGCCGGUGGCAGGGCUCCGAGGCCCAGCACUUGCACAUGAUCCCGUACCUGCAGGAAGACUGAUAAUUAAAUAUUCUGUGUGGAGUCACAUGUAGACUAUAGGGUAGCACACCUACACUGACUCAUCAGCGUGGUACGGACACUCCAUCUUAAAUCCUCUCUCAAUCAUUGAGUAGAAGGCGUGGUCCACCUUCAUUCCCGGGUACGGCGUGACACCUGAGGCCGACAUUUGUAUGAAUGGCUGUUCACACAGUGUGUGCUGCUCAUUAACAUCAGGUGCUCAUGUUAGAGGCGAUACCGAGAGAGAAGAUCUCCCAGAGGAGGAUGCCGUAUGCCCACACGUCGCUCUUCAUGGUGUACAUCCCCUCGAAGAUGCUCUCCGGCGCCAUCCAUUUGACGGGCAAACGCACCUGUGAGGCGGUAAAGUAAUUUGACUCACUUUGGAUGUGAAGGGUGUGUGUGUGUGUGUGUGUGUGUGUGUGUGUGUGUGUGUGUGUGUGUGUGUGUGAGUAUCAUCUGACUUACAUUUCCUCUCACAACAUAGUUGGAGUCAUUGUCGAUGUCUCGAGCCAAUCCAAAGUCCCCGAUUUUCACCUGUCUGCCUUUCGUAACCAACACGUUCCGUGCUGCCAGAUCACGAUGGAUACACUACACGCACACACACCCGCGCGCGCGCACACACACAUGCAUUAGCAGCAUUAGUGCAAUGUCAGCACAUUUACCUGGAUGUAUUAUUUAUAGUUGACUUAUCAACAUUCAUCUGGCACUUUAUGUUUGCAAAUGGGAGGAUGUCAUAACAAUAGCAUAACUACAGCGGUACCUUUGGUUUGCGUACGCCCUGACUUUUGUAGGAUCGGGUUUUUGAAGAAAAUUAUUGCCCAAACCUUAUCUCGGUUUUUCGUCUUGCUUUUUGUACAAAAGUCAUUCUCCCCCAGCUCCAUCACUCCUCCAUGACAUCAUGAGCAGGUGACUGUAGAUUUUUGCUAACUAACACAGCUACACCACAAGUGUAUGUUUUUUUUGUUUUUUUUUUAGUACGGCUGCAAAAUAAAGAAAGUUGCAAGUGUCAGCACGUUGCUAAAGAAGGCGAGAAACACUAUUGAAUUCAAGAAAGAAGUCUUCGUAAAACACAACGGCGGUGUCCAUGUGGCUCUCCCCUCUCUUUCUCCCUCGUCGCUCAUCGCCAUCUUUGCCAACAAGGGUUUUCAAUAAAGUGUUUUACUCUGGUGCUUACAUUUUUGGAGGAGAGGAACUCCAUGCCUUUAGCCACUUGGAAAGCAAAGCUCAAGAGGUCAUCAAAAGUCAGCGCCUGCAGAUCGUCCGUGUGGUCGUUUUUGUAGCUUCCUGGAUCAGUCAAGAUCAGCAGUGAACUUGUAAUUGUCAAAUGUUUAGUUUGCAUCAGAAGCGACCUUCUGACCUUCAUCGCAGUCCAUGUUGUCCAAACUGUGAUGGAGGAGGGCGACGUCCUCCUGUCCUCGAGUAGAGGCAGGGUGCAUCGGCACGUAGUUGUUCACACUGCCCUCCUGCACACUGAUGUCACACAAUACACUACAGUCAGUUUCUGUUCUCUGCUUUAAAUUAUUAGGUUUUUUUAAUGGUAACCUAAAUAGAAAGUGGUUUGAUGGCCAUAUCUGUGGGGCGAAAUAGGGAUUUCUCUUAUUUUCCUUAAAAUGUCCCGUAUUUUCAAAUGCAAAUGUCGACAGGUAUGGCGAUGCUGUGUAACUGUUAGCCUGGUCAUUUUUUUCUUAGAGUAAAACUGAAUUUAAAAUGUGUUUAACUGUGGGAGGGCUUUUAGAGUAUUUUAAUAAGCAUUUCAGGGCUUUUUAUGGGUGCAUCCAUUGUUUGUUCGUAACCCCCACGAAUAGAGGGCCUCUACUCUGUUCACUAAAUUCACGAAGCAAUGUGUGAUGCCCACCAGGAGCUUUUUGUUGUUGUCAGGUUGUUGUAAAGGCUGCUGAAGCGGUCCUCAGUAAAGGCGUCUGCCACAGACUUGUGGUAACGCUUGCUGCUGUUCUUCAGGUAGUUGAGCAAGUCUCCAUGGCAGCAGAACUGGAAUAUCAGGUAUAUGGGACCUGCAUGGGAGGGGACAUUACGCUUAGGGGCAUUAUUUUAUGCACAUUUUUUGUUGAAUUCAUGAGUACUCGCAGAAAACCCAAACACAACACAACCCAAGCACAGGGAGAACAUGCAAACUCCACACAGAGAUGUUCCAACUUGAAUUCCAACUUCACGACUGUUUUAGUAGUUGCGUGGACAUACCUGACUCUGUGCAGGCUCCGAGCAGGUUGACAAUGUUGGCAUGGUGACCAAUGUGAGUCAGCAUCUUUAGUUCGGACAUGAGAGCCUCUUUCUCCACCUCCUGGUGUUUCUCUGCAUGGCAGAACCACCGGACGGGCUGAUCUUACCGCGACGUUGCCUUUGGACUUGUAUCAGGCCAAGCAAACACUAACCUUUCAGCAUCUUGACGGCCACCUGCUGUGACACGCCGGCCUUGUUGAUGCCGUACGCUGUUGCCUGGACCACCGUGCCGAAAGCACCGGAGCCCAGUUCUUUGCCUGAGGAGGACACAGAUGCCAACUGGUUACGAGAACAGUCACAAUAAGUCUUAUGGCAAGAACUGAUGGAUUUACUCAAACCUAAUUCCAGGUUCUCUCUAGGAAACUCCCAUUUGCGUUCAUACUCAAAGUCCUUGAAGCUAAUGUAGAUGUAGUCGUUGUCAUUGGGCCCGACCAUCUGGAUCAUCUGGAGCUGGGGCUGAUACUGAGGUUUCUGUUGGACAAUUAGGGUGAGUCAAGGCCUUUUGUACAUGAAUGUAACGGAUGGCGGCCGGUGUGCGUGGAUGUGGGUUCAAGUCGAACACAUGCACACGUCUCACCUUCUUUUUGACAAAGUAAAGGAGCACCAUGCUGACUACGAUCAGAGCCACAACCAGGAUCACUUUCAACACCAUGAAGCUGCCCUUAUCCUCAUCCGGACCUCCUGAAACACACCAGGGUGUGUGCGAAGAAAGAGAGAGAGAGGUGCACAGUUUCUAGAGCUAGUUCGUUAGGCGGAACAAACCUCUUGGGGCCAGCAGGGACGGUGAGUAGUAGACCAAGUGUCUCUCGGUGCACCAGGAGCCGACUGAGUUAGUCAGACAAAACUUCAAAUAGUGUCCAUCAAAAAGCUCUCUACUGAUGGAGCUCUCCAUGGGCUUGUCACAUCGCAUAUCAGAGUCACUCUGUGAGGCGUUGGGAAUGUGUUUCCACACAGAGUGCCUGUCACAGCUGCAACGAGACAAUGUGUGGAGAUGUGUCAUGGAGGAGAUCAACACCUGCCCAGUUGUGGUCGCACCUUUGGUUGGCAGAGAAACAUGACAUCCAAGUGUAAUUUGCAGGCACCGCGCUCGCUGUCUUGAUGCGGAUGGUAUUGUCAUCUCUGUCCUUGAUGAAAUUGAACUUUGGCUCGUCUGUGAUGAAGGGAGCGUGCAGUGAAGCUUAAUGUGUAGAACAUAGAUGUCAAAUGAGUGUUUCUUACCUACAACACACACAGACACAGACUUGCUUUGGUUUUGUCCGCCUGCCUUCAAGUGGAGCUUGUACUCUCCUGAUUUUAGUGCACCGCACAGCUUCACCGUCCUGAAAUACAUUUUUUUGAAAUGCACUCACUUUACUAUGAAAAUUACAUACAAAAAACUCUUUAAAAAAAAUCAUAUUUUUAAUGUUGGAAAUGACUGAAGGAAAAUACAUGAUUUAUUAUUGUAUUUUUUAUUUUAGCUUAUUUAUUUUGUACAUCUUAUCCAAAUUGUCAGAUGUCACGAGGUUGUAAAUAGUUGUUUGUAGGACCUUAUUACAUUUUGGUUGUUUUGAAAUGUACGUCCUUUAGCUAUUUUGACUUGUUGAUGAUGGAUGUUGUUCCCUUUUCGGGUGCUAAUACUGCCUUUUGCAGCAGUGGUCGUACUUGUGCUUUGUCACCCAGUCGUCCUUAAUGCAUUGGAACAAAUUCCCAUCAGGAGCCUCCCAGGCGCAGUACUGCAGCAUGGGGUGGUACAACACAUGGGCUUGCAAACAUGAGCUGAGCGCCACCUGGGCUGGAAGACUUUUGCUUGCAUCCAGCUGGACUGAGAGGGAAUCUUCAGCUGAGGUAUAGCUGCCGCUGUGGUUCACCUUGAUGGAGUUGAUGAACAAGUAGGACAUCUGGAUUUUGCCAUUCUUAGGUGGCAUAGCAUGAUGACACAGCCACACAGCUCGGCUUGAAAAUGCAGACUUCAAACUGCAUACAAGUCUUUCCAUGGUGUAAAUCGGGCAAGUAAAAGCAGAUUUAUGAGAAAUAAUGUUCAGUGAUUUGUAUGCACUUUCGGUGCAGGAAGGCAGCCGCUUUGAAUGCGGAGGGAAAGUUGCCAAUGAAACAUGACACCACCUUCCUAUUGGUGAAAAACCCUCAUCAGUCAAAGCAUUUGUAGUCCUUUGGUUGCAGAGGGUGGAAAGGUAAGCCAACACUGCCACCAAGAAGCCAUAAAUCAUGGUUUUGGAAUUCAUGUUAACACUGCAUGUUAUACAUUCUUUUUUUUUUUAGAAAAAAAAAAAGUUCUCUACUCGAAUUUGAGGUUUUUGGGUGAUUUUUAAGCCCUACGUGUUAAAUUAGUACACCAUGUGAAAAUGGAACAAAAAUAACUGUACGGUACACAAAAAAAGGAAACCGACCGAGGCAAGGUAAAGAGUUUUUAUGGUGAAAUAUCCUGAUAAGGUAAACACAAAAGUACAUCAAACUAAAUCCUACUCUGGACUCCAAAGGGUUAAAGACUGCUGGAGUAGCUCUACCUCCUCGUUGACUUUAGCGGGGCAUGCUAAAGCGCCGGAUGUCAUCCCUUGGCCGUCUUUGUCCCACACCACUGCUGAUCGCAGUCUCUUGCGUUGGAUUCUGCAGCGAAGCAGGAGAGGCUGACCAGGACUCACGAUCACCUUGGACACCUCAUUUUUCUUCACGUCACUCUCCAAGUCUAAAAAACAAAGCCAUUACUCGAUCUAAUGGCUUGAAAUAAAUCAGGCUUUGGUUCCCUCCAUUGGUUGGUGUCAUGAAGAAGCUGCGAUGCAAUUACCAUAGUCAUACAGUUGGGAGCAUUCCUGUCCUUUGGUGUUACUUGCACAACACAUGACUCCUCUGUGUAUAAACUUAAUGCUGGUUAUUGUGCGCACUGCACUUCCACCAUCCCCUGAAACAGUCCCCUCAUCUGGAAUUCUGUUCAAAAGGAAAAGCGGUCCCAAAAAAAUCACGUAUUCAUUGUUAGAAAUUGUCCUUACCCAGACCACCUCAACGUGGGUUUUGGGUGUCCCUCAGAUGCACACUUAAAAUGAGGAGAACUCAUUGGCACAUCCGCAUGAAUCAGUGUCAGACGAGGUUUUGUGGGGCGCUCUAAGGAGGAAACAUCAUCAUAUAACUUCAAAUUUGUAACAUGAGUGACGGUAAUAUAUACCACUAACCUGAAGGAUUGUCUACAUGAAGAACCACGGACAAAGAAAACCUGGUCCCAUUGGCAAGCUCACAUCUCAGCGUGUACUCCCCGGAAUCUCCCUUGGAAAGUGAUGGCAGGACCAUGGAGACGCUCCCAUUUCUGUAGAGAAGAACCACCUCACAUAAAUCCAACAGACCUACAAGCAUACAGACUGACAUAUGAGACACUUACGCUGCCACCACCGCGUCUGAUCCUCGGAUGAAGCGGCACUUAGCGCAUCCGUGGAGAUCAUCCAGGGAGAUGACCAGUGUCUUGCCCACAUGGACCCCUAGGUGGACUGGACCUGAUGCAUUCAGGUGGUCCACUGGGUGAAAGCACUCCACCUGGAAAACAUGCCACAACGGAA